rnacentral:rRNA from 1 species
GACGAACGCUGGCGGCGUGCCUAAUACAUGCAAGUAGAACGCUGAAGAGAGGAGCUUGCUCUUCUUGGAUGAGUUGCGAACGGGUGAGUAACGCGUAGGUAACCUGCCUUGUAGCGGGGGAUAACUAUUGGAAACGAUAGCUAAUACCGCAUAACAAUGGAUGACACAUGUCAUUUAUUUGAAAGGGGCAAUUGCUCCACUACAAGAUGGACCUGCGUUGUAUUAGCUAGUAGGUGAGGUAAUGGCUCACCUAGGCGACGAUACAUAGCCGACCUGAGAGGGUGAUCGGCCACACUGGGACUGAGACACGGCCCAAACUCCUACGGGAGGCAGCAGUAGGGAAUCUUCGGCAAUGGGGGCAACCCUGACCGAGCAACGCCGCGUGAGUGAAGAAGGUUUUCGGAUCGUAAAGCUCGGUUGUAAGUCAAGAACGGGUGUGAGAGUGGAAAGUUCACACUGUGACGGUAGCUUACCAGAAAGGGACGGCUAACUACGUG